AGGAGCCGUGUGCAGGGAAACUCGCCGGCACGGUUUUGAAGGGGAGGUGAUGGAGGUGACUUCAUUAUCGACCCCUAC
rfam:Arthrospira platensis NIES-39 DNA, nearly complete genome.